AUAAGAGAAAAUACAUGAUAUAGCCUUGUAUAUUCUUUGUAUACACACUGUAUGUUCACUGUAUACUAAUGGGAUGUUUUAUUGGGCUGUGAUGAUUGGACCGUGUAUCUGUGCCCAACCAACAGUUAUUUAAUUUUGGGCCGGUUCACCCGAUCCGACCCAAGUGUAAAGUGUAUAUAGGUUAGGUAGGGGAGAUAUUUUGUAGCGGACUUCGUUUUGUUUCAUUAUUCUGAUUCUAGAGAGGUCUCAAACGCUCCUCCUUCUCUCUAAAUUCUCUUACUAUAUUCUUCAUGAUUCUACAGUUUAAUCUCAAGGUUUUCAGAUUCGGCGUUGCUACCACAUCAUCACCACCACGGCCCCCUCCUUUUUCAAGUCGGAUAACCACCAUCACUGCCUUUUUCUUUAUCAAACCUGACCAUUAUCACUAUAUUUCCUCCCCUUUAUCAGAUCUAGGCGCCCACCACCAUAACAAAUUUUAAUCAUGGUAAAAAAAAUAAAAUUUGGAAGAGGAAUCGAAGCAAUUGAAGGAUUAACAGACAAGUUAAUGACAACCUGCCAUGGGAUGUCAUUCAUCAAGAUUUGAAGCUAAAGUUGGUUGAUAGCUGAUUCUGCCGGUGACGGUAUUCUCGGCCAUCGGCUCUGUUUUUCUCUUUCUAUUUUGGGUCAGAUUAUUUUUAAUUUUGCUGACAUGUAAUUUUUCUAUUGGUUUGGUCUUCCAUUUUAAAAGAGAGUGAGAUUCACGUAUUAGUGUUGGUUUGGAAUUAUCCAUAUUGUGUUUAAUAGGCAUAUUUUAUAUGGAGUUCCAGUGGUCAAUAGGACAAGCCCGGGUUGAAAUUUGGUGCCAACUUUAAGUAUCUUCAUAUGUAUUCAGCAAAAAUUUUAAGAUAAUCAGCUUCUUAUUAGUGUUAUAGCUUUAAGGAUAAUUAAGUAAUUUUAAUAGAAAAAAGUAAUUGUCAUUGUAUUGGGCAAAUUUGGUUCCUUACGUCCCUACACUAUCUACAUACGUCCUCGGUGAAGAAAACGGCCUAAUUAUGGUCGACUCGAGGAAGGCCAGCCUCAGACAGUAGACGGGCCGAGUGACAUAACUCAUUGCGACGUCGUUUCGAGCUCUGACACUCGUACAAUGAGGCCACCAACCUUGUACUUUUGUUUGAUUAUUUCGAGGAAGGUCUCUUAGUAUAUAAAGGGGAUCUCCCCUUUGUGGAG
rnacentral:lncRNA from 1 species